rnacentral:rRNA from 1 species
AGAGUUUGAUCCUGGCUCAGGACGAACGCUGGCGGCGUGCUUAACACAUGCAAGUCGAACGAGAAGAGAUGAGAAGCUUGCUUCUUAUCAAUUCGAGUGGCAAACGGGUGAGUAACGCGUAAGCAACCUGCCCUUCAGAUGGGGACAACAGCUGGAAACGGCUGCUAAUACCGAAUAAGUUCUUUUUGUCGCAUGGCAGAGGGAAGAAAGGGAGGCUCUUCGGAGCUUUCGCUGAAGGAGGGGCUUGCGUCUGAUUAGCUAGUUGGAGGGGUAACGGCCCACCAAGGCGACGAUCAGUAGCCGGUCUGAGAGGAUGAACGGCCACAUUGGGACUGAGACACGGCCCAGACUCCUACGGGAGGCAGCAGUGGGGAAUCUUCCGCAAUGGACGAAAGUCUGACGGAGCAACGCCGCGUGAACGAUGACGGCCUUCGGGUUGUAAAGUUCUGUUAUACGGGACGAAUGGCGUAGCGGUCAAUACCCGUUACGAGUGACGGUACCGUAAGAGAAAGCCACGGCUAACUACGUGCCAGCAGCCGCGGUAAUACGUAGGUGGCAAGCGUUGUCCGGAAUUAUUGGGCGUAAAGGGCGCGCAGGCGGCGUCGUAAGUCGGUCUUAAAAGUGCGGGGCUUAACCCCGUGAGGGGACCGAAACUGCGAUGCUAGAGUAUCGGAGAGGAAAGCGGAAUUCCUAGUGUAGCGGUGAAAUGCGUAGAUAUUAGGAGGAACACCAGUGGCGAAAGCGGCUUUCUGGACGACAACUGACGCUGAGGCGCGAAAGCCAGGGGAGCAAACGGGAUUAGAUACCCUGGUAGUCC